UUUUUUUUUUAAAAAGAUAAAUUUGUUAUAUGAAGCUACGUAAUUAAACAAGAAUAUUGAGAACUACUGAAAUGAAUGAGUCCAAAUGGAACAAAACGUAAA